rnacentral:rRNA from 1 species
UAGGGAAUCUUGCGCAAUGGGCGAAAGCCUGACGCAGCGACGCCGCGUGGGGGAUGAAGGCUCUUGGGUCGUAAACCCCUUUCGGCAGGGAAGAAGCGAAAGUGACGGUACCUGCAGAAGAAGCCCCGGCCAACUACGUGCCAGCAGCCGCGGUAACACGUAGGGGGCGAGCGUUGUCCGGAUUCAUUGGGCGUAAAGGGCGCGCAGGCGGCCCGGAAAGUCGGAUGUGAAAACUCGGGGCUCAACCCCGAGCGUGCACCCGAUACUGCCGGGCUUGAGGCAGGUAGGGGAGAUCGGAAUUCCUGGUGUAGCGGUGAAAUGCGCAGAUAUCAGGAGGAACACCGGUGGCGAAGGCGGAUCUCUGGGCCUGUCCUGACGCUGAGGCGCGAAAGCUAGGGGAGCGAACAG